AACCUUCGACAACGGAUCACUUGGCUCUCGCAUCGAUGAAGAACGCAGCGAAAUGCGAUAAGUAAUGUGAAUUGCAGAUUUUCAGUGAAUCAUCGAAUCUUUGAACGCACCUUGCGCUCCUUGGUAUUCCGAGGAGCAUGCCUGUUUGAGUGUCAUUAAAUUCUCAACUCCGAUCGAUUUGUUUCGACCUCGGAGCUUGGACUUUGGAGCGUGCUGGCGUCGGUCGGCUCCUCUCAAAUGCAUCAGCGGAAUCUAACGUUUCGGACGUCAGUGUGAUAAUCACGUUGUGCUGUCAACCGAUCCUGAAAGCCCGCUCAUAAUGGUCUUCGGACAACUUCAUAUCAAUUUUGAACUCAAAUCAGGUAGGACUACCCGCUGAACUUAAGCAUAUCAAUAAGCGGAGGCU
rnacentral:misc_RNA from 1 species